GGACCAGAUUCGUCUGGUCAGUGGCAGACGGGUGCGUAACACGUAGGUGACCUGCCCUCGAGUGGGGAAUAACUCGACUAACGUCGAGCUAAUACCGCAUACGUUCGCUGAUUCGAAUUGGCGAGUAAAGCAGCAAUGCGCUUGGGGAUGGGCCUGCGGCGGAUUAGGUAGUUGGUGGGGUAACGGCCUACCAAGCCGAUGAUCCGUAGGGGGCGUGAGAGCGUGGCCCCCCACAUUGGCACUGAGACACGGGCCAAACUCCUACGGGAGGCAGCAGUGAGGAAUAUUGCACAAUGGGCGAAAGCCUGAUGCAGCAACGCCGCGUGAGGGACGAAGGCCUUCGGGUCGUAAACCUCUUUUCUGAGGGACGAGUAAGGACGGUACCUCAGGAAUAAGUCUCGGCUAACUACGUGCCAGCAGCCGCGGUAAAACGUAGGAGGCGAGCGUUAUCCGGAUUUACUGGGCGUAAAGCGUACGCAGGUGGCCAUGCAAGUCGGACAUGAAAGCUCCUGGCUUAACUGGGAGAGGUGGUUCGAAACUGCAUAGCUUGAGGUUGGGAGAGGGACGUGGAAUUCCCGGUGUAGUGGUGGAAUGCGUAGAUAUCGGGAGGAACACCAGUGGCGCAAGCGGCGUCCUGGCCCACACCUGACGCUGAGGUACGAAAGCGUGGGUAGCAAACAGGAUUAGAUACCCUGGUAGUCCACGCGGUAAACGGUGAACACUAGGUGUGGGAGGUGUAAU
rnacentral:rRNA from 1 species